rnacentral:rRNA from 1 species
UACGUAGGGGGCUAGCGUUGUCCGGAAUCACUGGGCGUAAAGGGUGCGUAGGCGGCCGUGCAAGUCUGGCGUGAAAGCCCCGGGCUCAACCCGGGAAGUGCGCUCGAAACUGCGCGGCUCGAGUGCCGGAGGGGAGAGUGGAAUUCCUGGUGUAGCGGUGAAAUGCGUAGAUAUCAGGAGGAAUACCGGUGGCGAAAGCGACUCUCUGGACGGCAACUGACGCUGAGGCACGAAAGCGUGGGGAGCAAACAGG